rnacentral:rRNA from 1 species
UUCGUCCAAGUGAAGCAGAGGACAGUGGCGGACGGGUGAGUAACGCGUGAGGAACCUGCCUUUCAGAGGGGGACAACAGUUGGAAACGACUGCUAAUACCGCAUGAUACAUUUGGGUGGCAUGAUCUUUAUGCCAAAGAUUUAUCGCUUCAAGAUGGCCUCGCGUCUGAUUAGCUAGUUGGCGGGGUAAUGGCCCACCAAGGCGACGAUCAGUAGCCGGACUGAGAGGGUGAACGGCCACAUUGGGACUGAGACACGGCCCAAACUCC